rnacentral:lncRNA from 11 species
AGCAUUUUCUUUUGAAUGCAACAUAAAAAGGAAUCCUUGCUGGUUGCAGAAUCAGAGGUGUCCAGAGAACUGAAUUAGAAAAUUAAGAGAACUGUGACUGCUGAGUUUGGAUUUGCUCGUUGAUUUAGAGAGCUGUGUUUG